CUAGUAAUCGCGAAUCAGAAUGUCGCGGUGAAUACGUUCCCGGGUCUUGUACACACCGCCCGUCACACCAUGGGAGUCGGGAAUGCCCGAAGUCAGUGACCCAACCAUAUGGAGGGAGCUGCCGAAGGCAGGUCUGAUAACUGGGGUGAAGUCGUAACAAGGUACC
rnacentral:rRNA from 1 species